GACGAACGCUGGCGGCGUGCUUAACACAUGCAAGUCGAACGGUAAGGCCCCAGCUUGCUGGGGUACACGAGUGGCGAACGGGUGAGUAACACGUGGGUGACCUGCCCCGCACUUCGGGAUAAGCCUGGGAAACUGGGUCUAAUACCGGAUAGGACCGCACCGUGAGGGUGUGGUGGAAAGUUUUUCGGUGUGGGAUGGGCCCGCGGCCUAUCAGCUUGUUGGUGGGGUAAUGGCCUACCAAGGCGGCGACGGGUAGCCGGCCUGAGAGGGUGGACGGCCACAUUGGGACUGAGACACGGCCCAGACUCCUACGGGAGGCAGCAGUGGGGAAUAUUGCACAAUGGGCGGAAGCCUGAUGCAGCGACGCCGCGUGGGGGAUGACGGCCUUCGGGUUGUGAACUCCUUUCACCAUCGACGAAGGUUUUCUGACGGUAGAUGGAGAAGAAGCACCGGCUAACUACGUG
rnacentral:rRNA from 1 species